CAGCAGCCGCGGUAAUACGUAGGUGGCAAGCGUUGUCCGGAAUUAUUGGGCGUAAAGGGUGCGUAGGCGGUUUGGCAAGUCUUAUGUGAAAUCUUCGGGCUCAACCCGAAGUCUGCAUGAGAAACUGCCGGGCUUGAGUAUGGGAGAGGUGAGUGGAAUUUCCGGUGUAGCGGUGAAAUGCGUAGAUAUCGGAAGGAACACCUGUGGCGAAAGCGGCUCACUGGACCAUAACUGACGCUGAGGCACGAAAGCUAGGGGAGUAAACAGGAUUAGAUACCCGGGUAGUCCCUGUCUCUUAUAC
rnacentral:rRNA from 1 species